UACAGAGGGGGCAAGCGUUAUUCGGAAUUAUUGGGCGUAAAGGGCGCGUAGGCGGCUUGGCAAGUGGAAGGUGAAAUCCCUCGGCUUAACCGAGGAACUGCCCCUCCAAACUGCUUCGCUUGAGACCGGGAGAGGUGAGUGGAAUUCCCAGUGUAGCGGUGAAAUGCGUAGAUAUUGGGAGGAACACCUGUGGCGAAAGCGGCUCACUGGACCAUAACUGACGCUGAUGCACGAAAGCUGAGGGAGCAAACAGG
rnacentral:rRNA from 1 species